UUCUCCAUUCACCGGUCGCAAUAAAUUUUCUCGAAUGUGAAAUAUAGUGGGGAUGAUCGCUUGCAGGACUCAUUAGUUGUCAUUCACCAUCGACUAAACUUGUAAAGCAGAUUACACAAAUAUUUUCGAUGAAUUUUGACACAAUUUUUUAUUACAAAAAGAAUAAUACUAGUGUUGUCUGUGAAUCGAAAUAAAAAAGUCAGAAAUCUUUUCUGAAAAAACAGGAUCCAGGCGAAGCAGAUAAAGGAAAGAAAGUAAAAGCAAAAGAAAUAGCCAGUUGGACAUUAGAAUAUCGCAUUCCUGCAUUUUUCGGCAAUCUAUUUAUUGGAAACAUAUAAUUUUUAUCAUAUACGUCACGAUUUUUGCAAUCUGUGGGAAUUCCCGGUAUUGUUGUUGCGAACGUCGAGCAUGCACAUAUAUUUGUAUGCUGGAUGUGCUUUAUUAUAUGAGCAAAAUCGGUCACUUUUGGCUAAUGAGAAAAGUGCUAAGAAAAUGCUAUCACUUUUCUUUAAAUUGACCGCUAUUAACAGGAAAUCUACUUGGUUCGUAUUAUUUUAAAAAAAUUUAUUUAUUACCUACAUUACAUCAUCGAACUCGUCAAUGCGAUCGAUAAUUAGAAAUAUACGCGGAAAUUUGUCUUUGAUUAGGUCUGCGUGACGUCUAUAAAGCAUGUUUUAUAAUGAAGGAUUAUUUCUACAAACAAAAAGUUAAUGACGUAUGAUUUGUUGACGCAAGUCAUGGCGUUCUUGAGUUUUUAUCUUUUGUGUGUGUAACACAAUACAAUAAUACACAUUGUGUGUGCAACACAGUAUAAUAAUAUCACAAAGAUUUGCUUUUUUUUCUUAAAAUAAUAUAAAAUUUUUUAAAUCCUUAAAAACUAUA